CCUACGGGAGGCAGCAGUGGGGGAUAUUGCACAAUGGGGGAAACCCUGAUGCAGCGACGCCGCGUGAGCGAUGAAGUAUUUCGGUAUGUAAAGCUCUAUCAGCAGGGAAGAAAAUGACGGUACCUGACUAAGAAGCCCCGGCUAACUAAGGGCCAGCAGCCGUGGUAAUACGUAGGGGGCAAGCGUUAUCCGGAUUUACUGGGUGUUAAGGGAGCGUAGACGGCAGUGCAAGUCUGAAGUGAAAGGCAAGGUCUCAACCCGUGGGCUGCUUUGGAAACGGUGCAGAGGGAGUGUCGGAGAGGCAAGUGGAAUUCCUAGAGUAGCGGUGGAAUGCGUAGAUAUUAGGAGGAACAGCAGUGGCGAAGGCGGCUUGCUGGACGAUGACUGACGUUGAGGCUCGAAAGCGUGGGGAGCAAACAGGAUUAGAUACCCUUGUAGUC
rnacentral:rRNA from 1 species